GGGCAUUGCGGUGUAGAUUUUCAUCCGGUUUGAGAUUCAGGUAUUUUUGAACCCGGUAGCGGGUGUUGAUCACUCAGUGGCAGGUUCAUCGGAGUUAGUAAAGUAGCUGCCUAACGAUAACUGCCUUGCUCUCCUCCCUCCUUAUUCUCCCUUAGUUGCAAUCAGUAAUUUUCCCAGCCAUGUUGGCCUUGAUGUUGUCACACAGUUGUAGUAGAUGCCCAUGACUAGUGACACACCGAUGUCGGGCUUUCUUUCCACACUGUUAUUUUGUUUUAAACACUUUUAAAGGUUUAGUGUUAAAUAGCUUAUAUUUUAUCCUAA